rnacentral:ncRNA from 1 species
CUAAUUAUGGAUGGUUUUAUUUUAGCCUUAAAAUUAUAUUAUGUAAAUACACGUAUUUAAAAUUUUUUUAAAAUUUAAUUGAAUAGAUAAACGUUUUAAUAUUAAUAUUUUAAAGAAAUUUAAUUUUUAGGUUUUGGUAGUAAAAUUAACAAAUCAAGUGCCAGCAGUUGCGGUUAUACUUGUUAUAUAAUAAUUUGUUCUAAAUAGUUUAAGUUAGAUUAAAAAUUUAAUUUAUAAUUUAAAAUUAUAGGUUGAAUUUAUAUUUUAAUAAUAAAAUUAAGGUUAAAUUAAAAUUUAAUUUAAUGUUAAACAGGGAUUAGAUACCCCUUUAUCAAUAUAAAUUAAAUAAGGUAGUAAAAGUAGAUUAAAGUCUUCAAACUUAAAAAAUUUGGCAGUAUUAUAGUAUUUUUAGAGGAAUCUGUUUUGUAAUUGAUAAUACACAUGUAGAGUUUCCUUUAUAUAACAUUUAAAUAUCGCUGUAAAACACAAGUUUAAGAAACUUUUUGUUCUUAGUUUAUCAACAAAUAUUUUAAGUCAACACUUAAUUUAUUGGGGAAAUUAAUGGAUUACAUUUAUUUAAAAUUAAUAGCUGAAUUUAAUAAUAAAGUUCUAAAAAAGGAUUUAAAAUUAAAUUUAUUUAUACUAAUAAAUUAAAUUAUUAAUAUAAUAGGUACAAAUUGCCCGUCGCUCUUGUAUAAAUCAAGAUAAGUCGUAACAUAGUAAAUUUACUGGAAAGUGAAUUUAGAAA